GUCUAUCUCAGGAUAGAUGGAUUUAACUGCUUUUCUCAAGACGCUUUUACUCUCUCGUUGAAUUCUUUUUAAACUUUUAAUUGACAUUGUACUUGCAUUCUUAUGGGAAACAGGGUGACCCACACACAUGUGUACACAGGUACACACACAGUCAGGUCAGCAUAGCUGGUAUGUUGUUGUUUAUGUUGGGGACAGUCAGAUUGGUAUUGUUUUUGCACUGUGCUGUGGAACAUUGGAAAACCUUAUCUGAUGGUGACCCUGUGCCUACUAACAGCCCUCACUAGGAUACAUUUUGGAGUCUCUGGCAACCACAAUUUUGCUCUAUUUCCAUGAGUCCAGCAUCUCUACUACUGCAUAGAAGUAAAAAAAAAAAAAAAAAAGCAUGCAGGCUGCCUUUCUGUGCCUGGCUAAUCUCACUUAACAUGAUGUCCUCUAGUUCUGUCCCUGUUACUGCAAAUGGCAGAAAUUUCAUUUCAGUGUGGUAAAUGUCACUUAUGUCAUUCCACAGUGGUCUUUAUCCAUUGGUGGAUAUCUAGCUGAUUUUACAUCUGGGCUGUUGUGACAAGCCUUGCUGUGUACACGAGAGAAUGGAUGCUAUAGGGACUCAGGUUCCUUCUAAUUCUUUCCUGACCCUGGCCUCCCCCCUCAUUAUUUCUGAGAAUCGUGACAGGAUAGCUUACCUACUCAUCGGCAUUCCUCUCUCCAGGUAGCUUAGAGUAGCCUUAAGUUGCUUAUUAGCUUAAGUUGCUGCCUCCACCUCCCUAGGGUCAGGUCUACAGGCCUGUGCCAUCACACCCAGUUUUAACAGUUUAUUUUAACCAGACUUUUUUUUUUUUAAUGUAAAAUUUGCCUCAUUUAUUUGAAAGUCAUUUAUAACAAAUUGCAUAUAUAUUUUAUGCACUAUAUUUUAUUCACUGUCCCCCUU
rnacentral:lncRNA from 1 species